rnacentral:rRNA from 1 species
GACGAACGCUGGCGGCGCGCCUAACACAUGCAAGUCGAACGAGCGAGAGAGAGCUUGCUUUCUCGAGCGAGUGGCGAACGGGUGAGUAACGCGUGAGGAACCUGCCUCAAAGAGGGGGACAACAGUUGGAAACGACUGCUAAUACCGCAUAAGCCCACAGCUCGGCAUCGAGCAGAGGGAAAAGGAGCAAUCCGCUUUGAGAUGGCCUCGCGUCCGAUUAGCUAGUUGGUGAGGUAAUGGCCCACCAAGGCGACGAUCGGUAGCCGGACUGAGAGGUUGAACGGCCACAUUGGGACUGAGACACGGCCCAGACUCCUACGGGAGGCAGCAGUGGGGAAUAUUGCACAAUGGGGGAAACCCUGAUGCAGCGACGCCGCGUGGAGGAAGAAGGUCUUCGGAUUGUAAACUCCUGUUGUUGAGGAAGAUAAUGACGGUACUCAACAAGGAAGUGACGGCUAACUACGUGCCAGCAGCCGCGGUAAAACGUAGGUCACAAGCGUUGUCCGGAACUACUGGGUGUAAAGGGAGCGCAGGCGGGAAGACAAGUUGGAAGUGAAAUCCAUGGGCUCAACCCAUGAACUGCUUUCAAAACUGUUUUUCUUAAGUAGUGCAGAGGUAGGCGGAAUUCCCGGUGUAGCGGUGGAAUGCGUAGAUAUCGGGAGGAACACCAGUGGCGAAGGCGGCCUACUGGGCACCAACUGACGCUGAGGCUCGAAAGUGUGGGUAGCAAACAGGAUUAGAUACCCUGGUAGUCCACACUGUAAACGAUGAUUAAGGGGUGUUGGAGGAUUGACCCCUUCAGUGCCGCAGUAACACAAUAAG